rfam:Cricetulus griseus cell line CHO-K1, whole genome shotgun sequence.
CCAGGUUGAGGUAGUAGGUUGUAUAGUUUAGAGUUACAUCAAGGGAGAUAACUGUACAGCCUCCUAGCUUUCCUUG